rnacentral:rRNA from 1 species
UUAGGUAGUAGUAGUUAUGUUCUUGAAACUUAAAAAAUUUGGCGGUAUUUUAGUCUAUUCAGAGGAACCUGUUCUGUAAUCGAUAAUCCACGAUGGACCUUACUUAAAUUUGUUUAGUUUAUAUACCGUCGUUAUUAGAAUAUUUUAUAAGAAUGUUAAUUUUCAAAAUUUUAUAAAAGAAAAUAUAUCAGAUCAAGGUGUAGCUUAUAUUUAAGUAGAAAUGGGUUACAAUAAAUUUAUUUAAACGAAUAUAAAUUUGAAAUGUUUAUUGAAGGUGGAUUUGAUAGUAAAAUUAUAAAGAUUAAUAAUUUGAUUUUAGCUCUAAAAUAUGUACACAUCGCCCGUCACUCUUAUUACUAAGAUAAGAUAAGUCGUAACAUAGUAGAUGUACUGGAAAGUGUAUCUAGAAUGC